rnacentral:rRNA from 1 species
UGUUAGUCGAGCGGCUGACAGGAAGCAGCUUGCUCGCUUUCGCUGACGAGUGGGGGACGGGAGAAUCAUGUGUGGGAACCUGCCUGAUGACUGGGGAUAACUACUGGAAACGGUAGCUAAUACCGAUUAACGUCGCAAGACCAAAGAGGGGGACCUUCGGGCCUCUUGCCAUCGGAUGUGCCCAGAUGGGAUUAGCUAGUAGGUGGGGUAACGGCUCACCGAGGCGACGAUCCCUAGAUGGUCUGAGAGGAUGACCAGCCGCACUGGAACUGAGACACGGACCAGACUCCUACAGGAGGCCGCAAGGGGGAAUAUUGCACACUGCGCGCAAGCCUGAUGCACCCAUGCCGCGUGUAUGAAGAAGGCCUUCGGGUUGUCAAGUACUUUCACCGGGGAGGAAGGGAGUAAAGUUAAUACCUUUGCUCGUUGACGUUACCCGCAGAAUAAGCCCCGGCUACCUCCGUGCCUACAUCCCCGGUAAUACGGAGGGUGCAAGCGGUAAUCGGAAUUACUGAGCGUAAGGCGCACGCAGGCGGGUUGUUAAUUCAAAUGUGAAAUCCCCGGGCUCACCCUGUCAACUGCAUCUGAUACUGGCAAGCUUGAGUCUCUGAGAGGGGAGUAGAAUUCCGGGAGUACCGGUGAAAUGCGUAGAGAUCUGGAGGAAUACCGGAGGCGAAGGCGGCCCCCUGGACGACUGACUGACGCUCAGGUGCUGAAAGCGUG